rnacentral:rRNA from 1 species
UGCCAGCCGCCGCGGUAAUACGAAGGGUGCUAGCGUUGUUCGGAAUUACUGGGCGUAAAGAGCAUGUAGGCGGAUGAAUUAGUCAGAGGUGAAAGCCCCGAGCUCAACUUGGGAACUGCCUUUGAUACUGAAGUUCUUGAAUGUAGUUGAGGUAGGCGGAAUGUGUUGUGUAGCGGUGAAAUGCAUAGAUAUGACACAGAACGCCAAUUGCGAGGGCAGCUUACUAAGCUACGAUUGACGCUGAGGCACGAAAGCGUGGGGAGCGAACAGGAUUAGAUA